rnacentral:lncRNA from 1 species
UUUAAGCUUUUUUUUUUCAUUUAGUACCUUCAAAGCUUUUUUUUUAUAAAUAAUACUAGCAAAUUUAUAUUUGCAUAAAUAGCCCUCUCCUUGCCACGCAAGCCCCUAAGUGGCUUUUCUAAAUUGAACAGGGCAAUUCAAUCACCGUUUUUAAAUAUGGUAAUUGAUUUACUGUAUUCCUCUUGUAAUUUUUUAUCACUUCCAAGUUAAAAAAAAGGGACUAUAGUGUGUAUAUGAGUACACGGUGAUUCAUUCACCAUAUUCAAUUUAAGACGCUUAUAUGGCGCCGUGGCAAGAAGAGGACCAUAUAUACAAAUAUAAAUUAAUUAGGGCUAUUUAUAAAAAAAGAAAAUAUUUAAAGG